rnacentral:ncRNA from 1 species
CGCGACGAAAAAUCGUUAAGCAGCGGCCAAGGCAGCAUAACGCAUAUACUACCUCUCUUGUUCAUUGCAUACCCAUCCAAGGAAAGGUCUUACGGUGUUAUAACUCAUCGUAAGUGAUUAAAAUGAGGGGCAAUUAAAGGAAAGAUGCAAGAUUUACACAGCGGCUGAGUGAGAGUCCAAACCCGGACCGUGCAUCACCAGCCCGACACCAUUUGUCGGCGUCACGAGAGGGCGUGAAAGAGAGCACACACAGGAGUGCCAAGUAUGAUUCACGGGAGUCUGCGUGAAAAGGGAGCUGUCGGCUCGCAGCUGGCUCCCAAUUGAUUUCACUCAAGCGUAGCACAGCACUACAACGGUGCGCGGCUGGCUCAUUAGAUGCGUUGUUCUCUGCACCUUGCACCUUUCUUAGAGGGACAGGCGGGUCCUAGCCGCACGAAACAGAGCAAUAACAGGUCUGUGAUGCCCUUAGAUGUCCGGGGACGCACGCGCGUUACACUGAAGGAAGCAGCGUGUUUUUCUCCCUGUCUGUUAAGACACUAUAGGCUUAGAAAAAAGUGACUCGAGCAAAUACAGAGGGCUAAUUGAAGUCCAUCGGAUUACCCCCGAG